AAAAUUAUGUAUUUAUAAUGAUAAAAGAUGGAACAGUUUUGAUACUGUGUCUAUCAAAUUUAAAUUUAAAUGUUGAAGAUAGAAUCAUUUGAACGUCCGAUACAAGAGUGCCAUCUGUCGACGAGUGUCGGUAAUGCAGAUAUACCGAUUGAAUGUUGAUUCAAGUUCUAUAAUGAUGGAAUCGUUUGGGAGAAGUCAGUUGAACUAAUUGCAUGCAAGAGAAGAAUGAAAGUAUGAAGUACUAUAGGGAGAAUAGCUAGUGCCAUUAAAAUGGCGAAUGUUAAAAUUAAUUGGGAUAUUAGGGAGAAAUUGAGAACGUUUGUGGAAUAUGUAGAAAUCUGUAGAAGUGUGCCCCUUUAGAGUGCCAAUAUUUACACCUCGAACUGAGUAACGGUUUCACUUGGAUCGUACACCUCGAGAGGGCUCUUUGACUUUUUAUUAACGUGAAAUCUCAUGACGUUAUUG